CGGGACGCAUCGCUCCUUCAAUGAGCAGGCGGUGCAGCUGGCGAGGAAGAUGGCGGCGGGGUGUGGGGAGCUGAGCUCCGUUGCAGUGUGAGACUACAUGUGUUGUCUGAAGGUGUGGGAUGGAGGAGAUGGAAGGAACAUACCGUGUUUUGCAGACUCCAGGAGCUCGACUUGGAACAGUGACAAAUGCAGCGGUUAGUACUCUGGAGCCCGGGCAGAGCCUCUCGAUCGGCACCACAUCAUCUAGUAAACUACGUGGCAGGGGGAUGCAGCUCACGGUUCAGUUGUUGGAUGAUGUGCAGGAACAGUUUGAAGUAGAGCAAAAAGCUUACGGGCAGGCCCUGAUGGAUGAAAUCUGCCAACGCCUGAACCUUGUUGAAAAUGAUUACUUUGGACUGGAGUUCCGGAACAAUCGGGGGAAUGAGAUUUGGCUUGAACCUGCAAAACCUAUUGUGAAACAAGUGCAAAGACCCAAGAACACGUUGUUCAGGCUUUGUGUUAAGUUUUUCCCCCCAGAUCCUGGUCAGCUGUUAGAGGAGUACACAAGGUACUUGUUUGCACUGCAGAUUAAGCGGGACCUGGCAGAGAACAAAAUAAUAUGCAGCGAGAACACAUCUGCACUCCUCAUCUCUCAUAUUUUGCAGUCUGAAAUUGGUGAUUGUGAUGAAGCUGUGGAUUUGGAUUACCUUAAGGAUCACAUACUCUUGCCAAACCAGCAAAUGCUUCAGGAAAAGAUUAUAGCCUUUCAUCAACAAAACAUAGGCCAGACUCCGGCUGAGUCAGAUUUCCAGGUUUUGGAGAUAGCUCGGAAGCUCGAGAUGUAUGGAAUUCGGUUUCAUCCAGCCACUGACAGAGAAGGGACGAAAAUCAAUCUGGCUGUAGCCCACAUGGGAGUGCUGGUAUUUCAGGGCAAUACAAAAAUAAACACCUUUAAUUGGGCGAAGAUCCGGAAGCUUAGUUUCAAGAGGAAAAGAUUCCUCAUCAAGCUCCACCCAGAGGUCCAUGAUUCCUACCAAGAUACGUUGGAAUUUCUUCUGCCCGACCGUGAUCUGUGUAAGAUUUUCUGGAAGAACUGUGUUGAGUAUCAUACUUUCUUCAGACUCAUGGACCAACCCAAGCCAAAGGCUAAGGCAAUUUUAUUCACCCGGGGAUCCUCCUUUAGAUACAGUGGAAGGACGCAGAAACAGCUGGUUGACUACAUGCGUGAGAGUGUGACAAAGACUCUCCCUUAUCAGAGGCGGCACAGCAGAGUACGAGGCCCAGCUCAGAUUAUGACCAAAGACGUGCCAAAACAGAGCUUGUCAUUCACAGGAGAUGUGGAGGUUCCAGGCUCUCCCUUUUCAGCUGCUGCUUCCUUUCAGUCCAUCCAGUCUGCGUGUAAGGUCGUUACAGACAGCCAGUCCAUCCACCGAGAUGAUGGCAACGUGCUCCUGAUCAAUAAGAAUACUCCUCAGAAAUCUCCAGUGGACAUGAAAAUGAGUCCAACGAUGGAAGAAACAUGGAAGACUUCCAGUCAGCCUUCACCAAUCUCCUUUCAAGGUGGUUUGGGUGGCAGUCUUCAGCUAUCCCCUCUUGCUACAAGGAGCACCCUCAAUGUAUUGGUUCCUGGAUCCCAGAUGUCUAACCUGAAUUUGCCUCCUCAGAUUCCAUCUCCAUUGCAAAGCCCGAUCCUCAGUGAUGUUGGCAGCACAAGGGCAGAUGAAGAUGAAGAAGACUGUCGAAAGCGUUAUCCGGCUGAUAAGGCAUUCUUUAUUGCCAAGGAAAUCCUGACCACAGAGAGGACCUAUCUGAAGGAUUUGGAAGUCAUCACUGUGUGGUUUCGUAGUGCUGUUAUCAAAGAGAAUGCAAUGCCACAAGGACUAAUGACUCUGCUGUUUUCCAAUAUUGACCCUAUUUAUGAAUUUCAUCGGGGAUUUCUGAAGGAGAUUGAACAGAGACUGGCUCUUUGGGAAGGACGGUCCAAUGCACAUGUGAAAGGAAAUUAUCAGAGAAUUGGUGAUAUCAUGCUUCGAAAUAUGUGCGUUCUUAAGGAAUUCACCAGCUACCUGCAGAAACAUGACGAGGUUCUCACAGAACUGGAGAAGGCCACCAAGCGGUCAAAGAAGCUAGAGAGUGUUUACAAAGAGUUUGAGCUGCAGAAAGUUUGUUAUCUUCCCCUAAAUACAUUCCUGCUGAAGCCAAUUCAGAGGCUGAUGCACUACAAGCUCAUCUUAGAGAGACUCUGCCAACAUUAUCGCCCUGACCAUCAGGAUUACGGAGAUUGUCAAGCUGCUCUGAAUGAGGUUCGAGAGAUGAGUGCUCAGCUGCACAGCAGUUUAAUUAGGCUGGAGAAUUUCCAGAAGCUCACAGAACUGCAACGGGACCUUAUUGGGAUAGACAACCUGAUUCUACCUGGAAGGAACUUCAUUCGGGAAGGUUGCCUGUAUAAACUUACAAGAAAAGGGCUCCAGCAAAGGAUGUUUUUCUUGUUUUCCGAUAUGUUGUUAUAUACCAGCAAAGGAGUAACGAGCAGCAACCAGUUUAAAGUACAUGGCCAGCUACUGUUAUAUGGGAUGAUUAUUGAGGAAAGUGAGAGUGAAUGGGCUGUCCCACAUUGUUUCACCAUAUACUCUGCACAGAAGACUGUUGUUGUAGCAGCAAGCUCCCGGAUAGAGAUGAGAAAGUGGAUUGAAGACCUGAGCAAAGCUAUUGAACUAGUGAAGAAAUCAAAUGAGAAGAGAGACCCAUUUCUGGAGAGCAGUAUCUAUGAUCGAUCAAACAGAUCUUCAGACGAGGCGUCGCUGGAGCAAGAAUCUGAAGAGGAUACUUACUCCUCCCACAGCUCGUUGGACAAGCAGACCCAUCACCGUGCCAAUACCACAGUGCACGUGUGCUGGCAUCGCAACACAAGUGUCUCCAUGCUGGAUCACAGUGUUGCAGUGGAGCAGAGCUUCCUCCACACUGUCCCGUGGCCUUGGGCCAGCAGCCCAACACCAUUACCCAUGUGUGCUGGUACCGGAACCAGAGCCUCUCACUGGCUGAUUAUCUCCGUAUGUUUGAGAACCAGCUCUCUGGUUAUCUGCUGCGGAAGUUCAAAAACAGCAAUGGGUGGCAAAAACUUUGGGUUGUCUUCACCAACUUCUGCCUCUUCUUCUACAAGACCCACCAGGAUGACUACCCUCUGGCCAGUCUUCCACUGUUGGGUUACUCAGUGAGCAUGCCUACCGACCGCGACCACAUCUACAAAGAUUAUGUCUUUAAACUGCACUUCAAAUCUCAUGUCUAUUUCUUCAGAGCAGAAAGCGAGUACACUUUUGAAAGGUGGAUGGAAGUUAUCAAAAGUGCAACCAAUUCACCAGGAUGGACAGCCCAUUGCAGCCAGAAGGAUACUUGAAUUGAGCUGCAAAAUUCUGAGUGUCGCCGUCUAGAACCUACAGAGUUCUGGAGGAUACAUUAGUACCAGGAGCACUUUGAAUGGAAGAAGUGGGAACUGGUUUCAAGGUGCACAAAGGAAUGGUCAAUUUGCUCUGACAACAAUGCAUCACCAAGUUGAACUGACAAAACAUGGACAAGCUGCAGUCGUGAAUAAGCCUGGUCACUCCUCAGAAAACAACUUCCUGCAUGUCUUAUUGUAUCAGUGGAAGAAUCAUUGUGAGGUUGGGGUGGGUUUAGACCUGGAGUUUAAGGAUUGAUUUUUGGAUUAAAUUAAUGAUGCUCUUGAUGGUUAAAGGUU